rnacentral:rRNA from 1 species
CGACCGGCGCACGGUGCGUAACGCGUAUGCAACCUACCUUAACAGGGGAUAACACUGAGAAAUUGGUACUAAUACCCCAUAAUAUCAUAGAAGGCAUCUUUUAUGGUUGAAAAUUCCGAUGGUUAGAGAUGGGCAUGCGUUGUAUUAGCUAGUUGGUGGGGUAACGGCUCACCAAGGCGACGAUACAUAGGGGGACUGAGAGGUUAACCCCCCACACUGGUACUGAGACACGGACCAG